rnacentral:sRNA from 1 species
AUGCACGAUACAGGCUGAGAAUGAGAAAACUGUAGUGGUUGGUGGGGCAAGUGUUCCAAAAAAUAUGAACUGUCGAUUUCUCCACAGUGCCUUACGCGGUAAACACGCUUGAUUUAUUGCCCUAUUCCUAUUAUGACUCAGCUCCACCUUUGAAGAAGGUUGAAUCGUCCGGAAGGCCGAUAUUUUGCCAGCGAUGAUCCAUUAUUGGCAAUGAUUUCCCAUCGGACACAUACCGAGGUAGCAACGACUCAGUGCUACCCCUGGCCAACUCUGACCGCUGCCAUCUCUCAAAAUCUUUCUCAUGGACCUUAAUCUUCCCUUCCCCCAAGACACAAUUACUAGCACAACAGGAUGAUGAUAGCUUCCGCCCGACUGGAUGCUUCUGGACAAAAAACGAAACAAUCUGGUACUAUUUACAGUACAAUAUAUGUAUAGUACAGCGUUUGCCAAAGGGAUGCUGCAGGUUGUCGCCGGGCCCAACUUUCAGCGCCAACUUCCACCCCCACCCAGUUGAGCUUCCAUUUGAACACAUUUUCCUCCCGCCUUCUUGAAUACUCGC